GCUGUGUGUGGUGGUGCACACCUGUAAUCUCAGUGACUUGGGAACUGAGACAGGAGGAUCAUGAGUUCAAAGCCAGCCUCAGCAAAAGUGAGGUGCUAAGCAACUCAGUGAGAUCCUGUCUCUA
rnacentral:sRNA from 1 species